rnacentral:rRNA from 1 species
GCUUGCUUGGUGGAUCAGUGGCGAACGGGUGAGUAACACGUGAGCAACCUGCCCUGGACUCUGGGAUAAGCGCUGGAAACGGUGUCUAAUACUGGAUAUGAGGCGUGAUCGCAUGGUCAUGUUUGGAAAGAUUUUUCGGUCUGGGAUGGGCUCGCGGCCUAUCAGCUUGUUGGUGAGGUAAUGGCUCACCAAGGCGUCGACGGGUAGCCGGCCUGAGAGGGUGACCGGCCACACUGGGACUGAGACACGGCCCAGACUCCUACGGGAGGCAGCAGUGGGGAAUAUUGCACAAUGGGCGCAAGCCUGAUGCAGCAACGCCGCGUGAGGGAUGACGGCCUUCGGGUUGUAAACCUCUUUUAGCAGGGAAGAAGCGUGAGUGACGGUACCUGCAGAAAAAGCGCCGGCUAACUACGUGCCAGCAGCCGCGGUAAUACGUAGGGCGCAAGCGUUAUCCGGAAUUAUUGGGCGUAAAGAGCUCGUAGGCGGUUUGUCGCGUCUGCUGUGAAAUCCCGAGGCUCAACCUCGGGCCUGCAGUGGGUACGGGCAGACUAGAGUGCGGUAGGGGAGAUUGGAAUUCCUGGUGUAGCGGUGGAAUGCGCAGAUAUCAGGAGGAACACCGAUGGCGAAGGCAGAUCUCUGGGCCGUAACUGACGCUGAGGAGCGAAAGGGUGGGGAGCAAACAGGCUUAGAUACCCUGGUAG